rnacentral:lncRNA from 1 species
UUUUAAUAAGAUAUGGUAAAAUUUGAGUGGUCCACAAACUAAAUGUAAAAAAGUAUUAAGGAAGAAAAUUUAUGUAUUCUGCAAUAAAACAUCUAAUAAUUUCUCAGGCUUUUACUUCUUUCUUGUAGUUAUCGCUGAGUUGGGCUGAUACGAUUGGGAAGCAUUACUAACAAACCUACGUAAUCACCAGAAAUAAGCCCGAGUCUGUAAGACUUGGAAUUAUAAUGUAGUGUCCAUCAGUCAUCACAUAUCUUCUUCCUGGCCUCCUCCAUCCCCGUCCGUCUUUUUUCCCCUCCAAAAGUUACCAACUGUGCUUUUGAGGGUCCCUUUCGUUCUUGAACUUAAUACGACACUGGACUCUCGCAAAAGAUAUGUGGGGGUUUCGUUAUUUAUUUGUUUAGGGUUUUUUUUUUUUUUUUUUUUUUUUUUUUUUUUUUUUUUUUUUUUUUUUUUUUUUUUUUUUUUUUCCC